rfam:Solirubrobacterales bacterium 70-9 SCNpilot_bf_inoc_scaffold_1400, whole genome shotgun sequence.
UCCGGGGUGGUGUAAUCGGCCAGCACGCCAGGUUUUGGUCCUGGAAGAGAGGGUUCGAGUCCUUCCCCCGGAA